UACGGGGGGAGCAAGCGUUGUUCGGAUUUACUGGGCGUAAAGGGCGCGUAGGCGGUCAGCACAAGUCAGUUGUGAAAUCUCCGGGCUUAACUCGGAAAGGUCAACUGAUACUGUGCGACUAGAGUGCAGAAGGGCAACUGGAAUUCUCGGUGUAGCGGUGAAAUGCGUAGAUAUCGAGAGGAACACCGGUGGCGAAGGCGGUCUCUGGCCGAUACUGACGCUGAGGAGCGAAAGCGUGGGAGCGAACAGG
rnacentral:rRNA from 1 species